UUAGCCGGUGCUUAUUCUAGUCGGUAACGUCAAAACANUNACGUAUUAGGUAACUGCCCUUCCUCCCAACUUAAAGUGCUUUACAAUCCGAAGACCUUCUUCACACACAGCAGGCAUGGCCUGGAUCAUGGCUUUCGCCCAUUAGUCCAAUAUUCCCCACCUGCUGCCUCCCAGUAGGA
rnacentral:rRNA from 1 species